rnacentral:lncRNA from 1 species
AAAGAAUGUCCAGAUGUUCUUUUUGGAGAAGAAGAACUACAAAGUUAGAGCAAAUACUCUUAUUUAUAAGAAGAAUGAACUCAGUGGGUGAGAAGGAGAAUACAAAUGCAACAGCCUCAAAUUAGCAGUGGAUGCCUACUGGGCUCCUGCAACCCCUUUCCACGGGGAUAAUUAGAGUUCAGGGCGGGAAGUACCACAGCUGAUUAAAGAGAGGACCUUGGGCACAUCAACUCUCAAAUAUCUUGAUUACAGAAAUU